AGUGGAUGGUCAUUAACAUAGAUUCAUGUCAUCACUGUUGAUCUUAUAUGUACAUUUACCUCAUGCCUGUCACAAUGGCGCCGAAUGGGAAGGCUGCAGUUUUACGGGCUCCUAACCAACUGUUCUAGUUUGUUUGUUUUUCCGCGUUGUUUGUAACUCAUUUUCUACAUAAUGUAGCUGCUACAGUCUCUUAUGACCAAAAAGAGCUUCUGGACAUCAAAACAGCGAUUACUCACCUCAAACUGGUCGAAGAUUUUUUCUUUAAUGAGUCCAACGCAAAGGAUAUACUGCUUCCCAGAGACCAGGCCCUCAUCCAGUCAUUCGCGUGAAGAAAAGACGGAAAUACAGGGGCGGAGGUCUGGGUGCCUUGUGAGAAUUUGUCGACGAGUGAGUAAACCACCACUACUCUCGGUAUUAUUGGUCAAUGUGCAAUCAUUGGAAAACAAACUGGACGAUCUACGAUUAAGACUAUCCUACCAACGUGACAUUAAAAACUGUAAUAUCUUAUGUUUCAGAGACUUGGCUGAAUGACGACACAGAUAAUAUAGAGCUGGCUGGCUUCUCCGUGUUUCGGCAGGACAGAGAAGAUAUGUCUGCUAAGACGAGAUACUGGGGUGUGUGUCUAUUUGUCAAUAACUAUUGGUGCGCAAUGUCUAAUAUUAAAGAAGUCUCGCGAUAUUGCUCACCUGAGUUAGAAUACCUAAUGAUAAGCUGUGGAUCACCCUAUCUACCAAGAGAGUUCACAUCUAUAUCAUUCGUAGCCGUCUAUUUACCACCACAAACCGAUGCUGGCACUAAGACCGCAUUCAACAAGCUUUAUAAGGCCAUAAUUUGUAAGUCGCUCUGGAUAAGAGCGUCUGCUAAAUUACUUAAAUGUAAAUGUAAAUAAGCAAACAAGAAAACGCUCAUCCAGAAGCGACGCUCCUAGUGGCCGUGGACUUUAAUGCAGGCAAAUGUCACAUGCAACCAGAGGGGAAAAAAACUCUAGACCACCUUAACUCGACACACAGAGAUGCAUACAAAGCUCUCCCCUGCCCUCCAUUUGGCAUAUCUGACCAUAAUUCUCUAAAGCAGGAAGUACCAGUGACUCUCUCAAUAUGGAAGUGGUCAGAUGACGCGGAUACUACGCUACAGGACUGUUUUGCUAGCACAGACUGGAAUAUGUUCCGGGAUUCAUCCAAUGGCAUUGAGGAGUAUACUACCGCAGUCACCAGGUUCAUCAACAAGUGUAUCGACAACAUCGUCCCGACAGUGAAUACACUACAUUUUUUGUCCAUUAAAAUAACAUCAAAUUGAUCUGAAAUACAGUGUAGACAUUGUUAAUGUUGUAAAUUACUAUUGUAGCUGGAAACGGCUGAUUUGUAAUGUAAUAUCUACAUAGGCAUACAGAGGCCCAUUAUCAGCAACCAUCACUCCUGUGUUCAAUUGGCAUGUUGUGUUAGCUAAUGUCUACACUGUAUUUCUGUAUUUCUGAUCAAUUUGAUGUUAUUUUAAUGGACAAAAAAUGUGCUUUUCUUUCAAAAACAAACUUUUGUACAGCAGUGUACAUUUCCCAACCAGAAACCAUGGAUUACAGGCAACAUCCACACCAAGCUAAAGGCUCGAGCUGCCGCUUUCAAGGAGCGGGACAUUAAUCCAAAAGCUUAUAAGAAAUACUGCUAUGCCCUCAGACGAACCAUCAAACAGGCAAAGCGUCAAUACAGGACUAAGAUUGAAUCCUACUACACCCGCUCUGACGCUCGUCAGAUGUGGCAGGGCUUGAAAACUAUUAUGGACUACAAAGGGAAACCCAACUGUGAGCUGCCCAGUGAUGCGAGGCUACCAGAUGAGCUAGAUGCUUUUUAUGCUCGCUUUGAGGCAAACAACACUGAAGCUGUGUGAUCACGCUCUCUGUAGCCGAUGUAAGCAAGACCUUUAAACAGGUCAACAUUUACAAAGCCGCAGGGCCAGACGGAUUACCAGAACGUUUACUCAAAGCAUGCGCGGACCAACUGGCAAGUGUCUUCACUGACAUUUUCAACCUCCCCCUGGCCGAGUCUGUAAUACCUACAUGUGUCAAGCAGACCACCAUAGUCCCUGUGCCCAAGAAAGUGAAGAUAACCUGCCUAAAUGAUCGCACUGCCCUUUCCCACGUGAACAAAAGGAACACCUAUGUGAGAAUGCUGUUAAUUGACUGUUGCUCAGCGUUCAAGACCAUAGUGCCCACAAACCUCAUUACUAAACUAAGGACCCUGGGACUAAACACCUCCCUCUGCAACUGGAUCCUGGACUUCCUGAUGGGCCACGCCCAGGUGGUAAGAGUAGGCAACCACACAUAUUCCACGCUGAUCCUCAACACUGGGGCACCUCAGGGGUGCAUGCUUAGUUCCCUCCUAUACUCCCUGUUCACCCACGACUACAUCAAGCAAUCAAAUGUAUUCAUAAAGCCCUUCUUACAUCAGCUGAUGUCACAAAGUGCUGUACAGAAACCCAGCCUAAAACCCCUAACAGCAAGCAAUGUAGGUGUUGAAGCACGGUGGCUAGGAAAAACUCCCUAGAAAGGCCAGAACCUAGGAAGAAACCUAGAGAGGAACCAGGCUAUGAGGGGUUGCCAGUCCUCUUCUGGUUAUGCCGGGUGGAGAUUAUAACAGAACAUGGCCAAGAGGUUCAAAUGUUCAUAGAUGACCAGCAGGGUCAAAUAAUAAUAAUCACAGUGGUUGUUGAGGGUGCAACAGGUCAGCACCUCAGGAGUAAAUGUCCAGUACAUGGCCAAGCACGACUCCAACACCAUCAUUAAGUUUGCGAAACAACAGCCUGAUCACCGACAACAAUGAGAGCCUAUAGGGAGGUCAGAGACCUGGCAGUGUGGUGCAAGGACAAAAACAUCUCCCUCAAUGUGAGCAAGACGAAGGAGCUGAUUGAGGACUACAAGAAAAGGAGGGCCGAACAAGCCCCCAUUAACAUUGAUGGGACUGAAGUGGAGUGGGUCGAGAGUUUCAAGUUCCUUGGUGUCUACAUCACCAACAAACUAUCCAAACACACCAAGACAGUUGUGAAGACGGCACGACAACAUUUUUUCCCCUCAGGAGACUGAAAAGAUUUGGCACGGGACCCCAGAUCCUCAAAAAGUUCUACAGCUGCACCACCGAGAGCAUCUUUUAAAAAAUAUAUAUUUUUUAAUUUUACCCCUUUUUCUCCCCAAUUUCGUGGUAUCCAAUUGUUGUAGUAGCUACUAUCUUGUCUCAUCGCUACAAAUCCCGUACGGGCUCGGGAGAGACGAAGGUUGAAAGUUAUGCAUCCUCCAAUACACAACCCAACCAAGCCGCAGUGGAAGCCAGCUGCACCAAUGUGUCGGAGGAAACACUGUGCACCUGGCAACCUUGGUUAGCGCGCACUGUGCCCGGCUCGCCACAGGAGUCGCUGGUGCGUGAUGAGACAAGGACAUCCCUACCGACCAAUCCUUCCCUAACCCGGAUGACGCUAUGCCAAUUGUGCGUCGCCCCACGGACCUCCCGGUCACGGACGGUUACGACAGAGCCUGGGCACGAACCCAGGGACCCUGAUGGCACAGCUGGCGCUGCAGUACAGCACCCUUAACCACUGCGCCACCCGGGAGGCUUCAUCGAGAGCAUCUUGACCGGUUGCAUCACCAGCUGGUAUGGCAACUGCUCGGCAUCUGACCGCAAGGCGCUACAGAGGGUAGUGCGUAUUGCCCUGUACUUCACUGGGGCCAAGCUGCUACCGCACGGCAAGCAGUACCGGAACGCCAAGUCUAGGACCAAAAUACUCUUUAACAGCUUCUACCCCCAAGCCAUAACACUGCUGAACAACUAAACUAAUCAGAUGGCUACCUGGACUAUUUACAUUGAUUUUUUUUUACACUGUUGCUACUCGCUGUUUAUUAUCUACGCAGUCACUUUACAAAUGACCUCGACUAACCUGUACCCCCGCACAUUGACUCGGUACCGGUACCCCCUGUAUAUAGCCUAGUUAUUGUUAUGUAAAUCUCUUGUGUUACUUUUUGAUUGAUUUUUUAUUUUUCUUAGAGUUUAUUUAGUAAAUAUUUUAUUAACUGCACUGUUGGUUAAGGGCUUGUAAGUAAGCAUUUCACUGUAAGGUCUACACUGUUGGUUAAGGGCUUGUAAGUAAGCAUUUCACUGUAAGGUCUACACUGUUGGUUAAGGGCUUGUAAGUAAGCAUUUCACUGUAAGGUCUACACUGUUGGUUAAGGGCUUGUAAGUAAGCAUUUCACUGUAAGGUCUACACUGUUGGUUAAGGGCUUGUAAGUAAGCAUUUCACUGUAAGGUCUACAUUGUUGGUUAAGGGCUUGUAAGUAAGCAUUUCACUGUAAGGUCUACACUGUUGGUUAAGGGCUUGUAAGUAAGCAUUUCACUGUAAGGUCUACACUGUUGGUUAAGGGCUUGUAAGUAAGCAUUACACUGUAAGGUCUACACUGUUGGUUAAGGGCUUGUAAGUAAGCAUUACACUGUAAGGUCUACACUGUUGGUUAAGGGCUUGUAAGGAAGCAUUACACUGUAAGGUCUACACUGUUGGUUAAGGGCUUGUAAGGAAGCAUUACACUGUAAGGUCUACACUGUUGGUUAAGGGCUUGUAAGGAAGCAUUUCACUGUAAGGUCUACACUGUUGGUUAAGGGCUUGUAAGGAAGCAUUUCACUGUAAGGUCUACACUGUUGGUUAAGGGCUUGUAAGGAAGCAUUACACUGUAAGGUCUACACUGUUGGUUAAGGGCUUGUAAGUAAGCAUUUCACGGUAUUGUUGUAUUGUUGUAUUUGGCGCAUGUGACAAAUCAAAUUUGAUUUGAUAACCUAAAUACUGUAUCCAUGUUGGCAGGUCUGAUAGUAAAGGGUUAUGGUGGACACGUGACAUUAUGUG